rnacentral:lncRNA from 1 species
AUAGCCUUGUGUCUGUAGAUCAUACUUUAAGAAUAACUGACAUAGUUAGUUUGUUCUUAAAUAAUAAUUUCUGUAAGGAGAAAGGAAAAUCUUCAACUAGAUUUUGGGAGUAUUUACUUAUUAAUGAAGUAUUUGCAAAUGUCUUCUCAUGUAAGCUUUUCUAACCAAAUGCCUACAGGUAAGGUGCUGUCAGGUUUUAGAGAAGGAAAACAAAAACGUGGAUUUGUGAGGUAGAAUAUUAACUGUAGUGAACUCUAGAAAUGAAUUUGAACUCAGACAUACUGACUUUAAAAGUCUAUUCCUGAUUCGAGCAGUUUACAAUGUGUUUGUGUGAAAAUUAACACACCACCUUAUAUAUCAAAUUAUUAGACAUCUUCUGUUCUUUUGAGAAUUAACCAAGAGUUUGAAUCCUAUGUUUUCCUUGAAUUACUAGACAGGGAAAACUCAGUUAGUGAUUUUCUUUUCAUGUCUCAACUUUUUAGAUGGUGCCGCCAUCUUUAUGUUGUAGUCAUGGUUAGUAGACUGCAACGAUGUGUAAGCAAGAUAGUCCUUUAGUUUCUCUUUAAGAGGUAUUUGAAACAACUUAAAUACAUAAACAUUUUGUUGACAGAGCAUACUUACUGUUAAAUGAAAAGUCCUUCAUAGAAGAAAUGAUAUGUAAUGUCAGCUUACAGAUGCUCCACUGUUAGAUUUCAUGAGAUAAUUUUACUCAAACUUUCUAUACAUUUCCAUAUGUAAGCAGUUAUGUUAUUACUAGUCCUGUUUGUACAGUAGUUGAGAUUUAGCACACGUUGAGUCCAUAUAUACUCAGUAUAUGAGUCACAACACUCUAAUUAUAUAUCUUAUCUCAAGCCACAAGUACUCAUUUUCAAAAUAAUAUCCUACUUGUUGAAUAUCUAUCUACUAUGUAAUAGAAAUUUGUAUUAGGCAUGUUAGUUAAACCUUCUCUCUUAGGGAGAAAAUAUUAUUUAAUACUAUGUCUAUACAUUAUUAGGACAACUGUGAUUCCUCCAUUUAUUAUUUUCAAUUGUCCUAUAAUAUAUAGUCCUAUAAUAUAACUGUCUUUUCAAACAUUUUAAAGGUAUCUUUAAAAGCUUGUUUUACAAAAUGUUUUCAGCUCUAGAGAUUGUGAGAAUAGGUAUCUAUGAACAAGCACACACUUGGCUGUAACAUCUUUAUUUAUUAUCCAGCCUUCCUAUGUGCUCUUCAAGCACUUGAAACAUUAUUGACUGGGGUUCCUGCAGGAUAAUUUGGACUUCACAGUGUUUUGUACUGCAAAGUAAAAUAUUUGAACAAACAGUAGGACAGUCUUUGUGAAUACUUAGGAUAAGCAGCUUCUUAGCCUCUGAUGUCAUGGGAAGCUGUAUUUAUGUUUAGCUAGUUAGUUUUGAUGCAAUCUUGUAAUUCUACAAAGACUGGAAUUCAUGAAAAUAUAUUACUAUUAAUAUAUGAGAUAUAUAUGUAUGCAUAUUAUAAAAACUAUUUUAGCCUUAGUUAUAGUUUAUUCACUUUAAGCAUUAUCUAACAAUUUUCUUAGUGAUAAAAUUAGGAGAAGUGCUAAACAGACUGACUUUUGCCUGUGCAAUUCUUAAAAUAUAAAGCUUACAUGGACUUUGUUGUUGAGUUACCAAUAUGAUCUUUUUCUCAUUUGUUAUAAAGCUAGUAAAGCUAUGUCCAUUUUUAGUAUAAUUUUAGGUUCAAUUUGAUGGGACCCAUUGAGGAGUUAUCAUAUGAAGGCUACAUUGAGUACUUUUUCUUCCCAGGGAUUUUCAUCUUACAAAUUAUUACUCCCCAAUAAUGUAUUUAAGCAUGAAAGUUCAACUGGGCUAAUGAAUAUAAAUAACAGCAUUUUUUUUUUUGUGAAACUAUACCAAAAUACCUUUUAAAAACAGCAUUAUUGGUGGCACAUGCCUUUAAUCCCAGUACUUGGGAGACAGGCAGGCAGAUUUCUGAGUUUGAGGCCAGCCUGGUCUACAGAGUGAGUUCUGGGACAGCCAGGGCUACACAGAGAAACCCUGUCUUGAAAAACAAACAAAACAAAACAAAUUAAAAAAAAAACCCCACAACAUUACUGUAAGAAUAUAGUAAUAAGUUUUGGUUUUGAAGCAUUUUGUUAUCUCCUAGGUUUUAGAGCUGUACCCUCAGUUUUGGUACUUUUUUCCCCAUGAUAAAUUGAUGCAUGCAUAUUAAUAGAAGGCAGAAAUAAAUAGUUCCUACUUAUGACUAACCUCUCAUAGAGCUAAGGGAUAGUCUUUUAAUGAUUUUAUGUGUAAUGUUUUUGUCCAGUAAAACUUGGAACACAGAGUAAAUAUUUUGGUUUGGAGUUGAAUCAUCUUAAUUUCUCAUACAAGUGGUCAGUAUAUUACAGUCUCUGAAUUACUAUUCUAAAUACCAGUUGUUUUAUCUGUUUAGCAAAAAUGGAUCAGAAGACACUUUAAGAGUAAAAGAUCGACAUAACUUUAAUUUUUUCAAACAUCUAUGUGAUGGUUUGUAUAUGCUUUCCCCAGAGAGUGGCACUGUUAGAAGAUGUGGCCCUGUUGGAGUAGGUAUGGCCUUGUUGGAGUAGGUGUGUCACUCUGGGUGUGGGUUUUAAGACCCUCAUCCUAGCUCUGUGGAAGCCAGUAUUCUGCUAACAGCCUUAAGAUAAAGAGAUAGAACUCUUAGCUCUGCCUGUACUGUGCCUGCCUGGAUGCUGCCAUGACCUGUCUUGAUGAUAAUAGAAUGAAUCUCUGAACCUGUAUGCCAGCACUAAUUAAAUAAAUUAAAUUUAUAAGAUUUGCAUUGGUCAUGGUAUCUGUUCACAGAAGUAAAACCCUAACUAAGACAGCCUACUUUUAAUGAUGGUUCUUAAAUGCUUUAACCUCCCUUGUAGCCCACCACCUACCAGAGGUAGUGGAAAAGAAAGGAUGCGGGGCGGGGGUGGUGGUGGUGGGUAGAAGUGGACCUGUUUAGAAAGGUUCUUUGGAGCAACUCCCAUCUGUGUUGUCUGGACAUUAGCAGUUUAGUUUACAGGUUAACAUCGGCAGCUCAAUCCACUUGCAAACACUUUACAGAUACAUCAGCAAUCCAGUUUGGUAGAGUUAGGUUAGCAAACAGAAAUCACCUGUGGUGGCAUUACCUAGCAGAAACACCAGGCCUCAGGCCUGUCAACUGGAGGAUCCAGGGAGGGACACCAGGAAAAGUUCUUGGCCCUGCUUCUCUCAGCUAAUUGAAGAUCAGCGAAGAUGUGAGACCAACAAGAAUUGCACAGCUAGCUCUAUAAACAACCCUAGCUCAGCCUCCAUCACUGUCACUAUCCAUUGAGUCCUAUUUAUAUCCCUCCAAAUAUCACGUGUCCUCCGUGGGUCUUGCCUCAGCACAUGUCUUACCUCAGCAUGUCAGUCUGUCUCAGCUGACAUCAUUCUGCCAAUCAGCCUGAGUGAGAAAGUAGCAAGAAACUGCAGCACACCACCAGAAAUUUUUUGGUGCAUUUCCAUGGAGUUCCGAUACAUGCAUGUUGUUAACAAAGAAUCCUUCAUUUCAUGUCCUUCCACAUGCUUGCUUUAGCAGAACAUCCUUUCUCCUGUGUCUGCUUCAGCAAAACAUUCCUUCUUGAGUCUGCCUUAACCAUUCAUCUGUGUCUACUUCAGAAAAACACUCCUUCAUGAGUUUGCCCCAGCCAAACACCAUCCAAUACAACUGACUUUUCCAAAGAACUUUUAAAUUCCCACUUCAGAUCAGCCAGGAAGGAAAUUAGACACAC